rnacentral:rRNA from 1 species
UGAACGCUGGCGGCAGGCCUAACACAUGCACGUCGAGCGGAUGAAGGGAGCUUGCUCCUGGAUUCAGCGGCGGACGGGUGAGUAAUGCCUAGGAAUCUGCCUGGUAGUGGGGGAUAACGUCCGGAAACGGGCGCUAAUACCGCAUACGUCCCGAGGGAGAAAGUGGGGGAUCUUCGGACCUCACGCUAUCAGAUGAGCCUAGGUCGGAUUAGCUAGUUGGUGGGGUAAAGGCCUACCAAGGCGACGAUCCGUAACUGGUCUGAGAGGAUGAUCAGUCACACUGGAACUGAGACACGGUCCAGACUCCUACGGGAGGCAGCAGUGGGGAAUAUUGGACAAAGGGCGAAAGCCUGAUCCAGCCAUGCCGCGUGUGUGAAGAAGGUCUUCGGAUUGUAAAGCACUUUAAGUUGGGAGGAAGGGCAGUAAGUUAAUACCUUGCUGUUUUGACGUUACCAACAGAAUAAGCACCGGCUAACUUCGUG